UACAGAGGGUGCAAGCGUUGUUCGGAAUUAUUGGGCGUAAAGGGUGCGUAGGCGGUGCGGUAAGUCUGUAGUGAAAUCUCUGGGCUCAACUCAGAGUCUGCUAUAGAAACUGCCGUGCUUGAGUGUGGGAGAGGUGAGUGGAAUUCCCGGUGUAGCGGUGAAAUGCGUAGAUAUCGGGGAGGAACACCUGUGGCGAAAGCGGCUCACUGGACCCACAACUGACGCUGAUGCACGAAAAGCUAGGGGGAGCAAACAGG
rnacentral:rRNA from 1 species